GCCAGCGAUCCGAAACCUUAAAGAUACAUAAGAAGCAACAAGGCGACACGAAACGAUUCACCAACACUGUGAUGCAGGAGAAUAAAGCUACGAAGCUCAAUAUGAAACACAGUUUGAUUUUAUUUAAACUAACUAACAACUGCCAUGUUUUCCUUACCAUAUUAGUCAUCUUGUUUCUUUUUGACCUCUAAAUAAACCUCUUGUAUUGUUCUCUGUCUCUAGUUUACAUGAAUUCACUCUGUGACCUGAACAGUUACUUUAAUAAUUCACUUACUGUGACGUACGGAACAAUUAUUCUAGAGCGCAAGUUCUACCAGGAACGUUUUGUCAGCGCACCACAGCUGUAGCAUGCUAGCAGGAGAAACAGUUAGGGAGGAAGAAUCAAUGAAAUGAGCAGGGUUCUGGUGAGGAAGACCAACAGAGUCCAGAUGUGUAUGCUAGAGCACAUCAGUCAGUCCUGAAGAGGUGCUGCUAAGGCUCAGGGAGUAAACACCACCACCUGAUACAGAUGUGCAAAGAGGGAAAUGAGGACAGAGCUGCACCUGCUGCAGGUUACAGGACUCAUCAUGUUCUCUGUGGAGCCAGAGCUUAAAGGCUGCAGAUAUUCUCUGUGAGUCCUCGUGAGGUUUUAGUUUACAUUAUUGUGACAGUUCAUAUUUAUUGCGAAGGCUCAUGUGAGAACAAAACAAGGUCAACAAGCUGCAGGUUACAGAACUAACUAAAGAUGACAAAUAUGAAAUUAACUUCAUGUCUUCAGAAUUCAACCACAAAGUUCAUAAUCAUUCAUAAAUCAGUCUCAUCAUGUAAACUCAUAAAUAAGUUACAAGUUAAUCAAGUUAGAAACAAUAUAGAUGUGAUAGUUAAUUGGUUAGUUGGCACUGAAGCCUUUAUUGAUUUAUUUGUGAUCUGUGUAACUGAUUCAACAGAGGAAACAUUACUUACUCAUGUUUAUAUAUUUGUCUUUAUUUAAUCUCAAAAAUCAUUGAGGGUGAAGCCAAUCAAUCAAUUAAAACAAACAUAUAAAUACAAUUAAUAAAUAGAGUUACAACAAAAUCAAUUAAAAACAGGUAGAAACAGAAGUUAAAGGUUUGAGAUAAGGAGUUUGUUCUAGGUUAAGAUCAUUUCACUGCGUUUUGAAUGUUUGAAUGUUCUUAUUUUUCAUGGUGACUGUUGUCCAAGGCUACUUUAUAUUAUUUUUAAUGUAGGCUGAUGUUCUAAACAAGUGACUGAAUAACAUGGUUGUCUGCUUUGAGGACUAACUGAAGCAUUAAUGAGCUUUAUGUUCCAGAAACAUUAAGUACUACUUGUGUUGUGGUUAAUAGAAAGAACGUUUGGUCGGUAGAGGACGUGUCUGUUAUUCACAAUAAAAAUAUGGUUACUGUAAAUAAAUGCAUCUCUGUACAAAGAGG